rnacentral:rRNA from 1 species
GACAGAGGGUGCAAACGUUGUUCGGAAUUACUGGGCGUAAAGCGCGUGUAGGCGGCUAUGCAAGUCGGACGUGAAAUCCCACGGCUCAACCGUGGAAGUGCGCUCGAAACUGCGUAGCUAGAGUCCUGGAGAGGAAGGUGGAAUGCUUGGUGUAGAGGUGAAAUUCGCAGAUAUCAGGAGGAACACCGGUGGCGAAGGCGGAUCUCUGGGCCUUACCUGACGCUGAGGCGCGAAAGCUAGGGGAGCGAACAGG